AGUGAACGCUGGCGGUAGGCCUAACACAUGCAAGUCGAACGGCAGCACAGGAGAGCUUGUUCUCUGGGUGGCGAGUGGCGGACGGGUGAGGAAUACAUCGGAAUCUACUCUGUCGUGGGGGAUAACGUAGGGAAACUUACGCUAAUACCGCAUACGACCUACGGGUGAAAGCAGGGGACCUUCGGGCCUUGCGCGAUUGAAUGAGCCGAUGUCGGAUUAGCUAGUUGGCGGGGUAAAGGCCCACCAAGGCGACGAUCCGUAGCUGGUCUGAGAGGAGGCUCAGCCACACUGGAACGGAGACACGGUCCAGACUCCGACGGGAGGCGGCGGUGGGGAAUAUUGGACAAGGGGCGCAAGCCUGUUCCGGCCAGGCCGCGUGGGUGAAGAAGGCCUUCGGGUUGUAAAGCCCUUUUGUUGGGAAAGAAAUCCAGCUGGCUAAUACCCGGUUGGGAUGACGGUACCCAAAGAAUAAGCACCGGCUAACUUCGUGCCAGCAGCCGCCGUAA
rnacentral:rRNA from 1 species